GCAUGCCUACAACAUAGUGUUAAUGCAUCAAAUCCCAUUAUAACUCUGCAGUUAAGCACGCUCAGGCUAGAGUAGUAUUGGGAUGGGUGACUGCCCAGGAUGUCCUAGUGUUUUACAUGCC
rnacentral:rRNA from 1 species